GAUGAACGCUGGCGGCGUGCCUAAUACAUGCAAGUCGAGCGGACCGAUGAGAUACUUGUUCCUCUGCGGUCGGGGGCGUACGGCGUGGUAAACCUAGGCUAACCUACCUGAAAACCUGGGGAAACCCCGGCAAACCGGCCCUAUUACCGUGUACUAUUUGGCACCGCUUGGGGCAAGAUAGAACGCUGCCUUUUGUGUCCCCUUACGAUCGGCCCGCUCGUGGUUAGCCAGUUGGUAAGGUAACGGCUUACCAAGGGGACGAUGAGUAGGCGGGCUGGGAGGGUGAUCGGCCGCACUGGAGCUGAGACACGGACCAGACUCCGACGGGAGGCAGCAGUAGGGGAUCUUGCGAGAUGGGCGAAGGCCUGACGGAGCAACGCCGCGUGCGUGGUGACGGUCUUCGGGUCGUAAAACGCUGUUAUAAGGGAAGAACAAGUGACGAAGUAACUGUGCAGGUCGUGACGGUACCUCAGCAGAAAGCCACGGCUAACUACGUG
rnacentral:rRNA from 1 species